CUGUUCCCUUCUUUCUUGCCAUUUUCCUUACGAUCAUCCCCAUGUCUUGCAACCGUUCUUACUCAUUUAUAUUGUUAGAUUUUCUUAGCAAUUUUCUAAUUUCGACUCCUAAAUUCUCACUUUCGGGUCAGUUAAUUCUUCUACUGUCCGAUUUACGUCAUGACAGAUUAACAAUUCUUACACAUUUUUUUUUUUCCUUCUUUCCCUUUGAACCAGAAUUCAUCUCACUCUCCCUUCUCCUGUGAAAUCAAAUAUGGCUAAGAAGAGAAAGAUUAGAACGAGUGUAACUCCAAUUAAGGUUCCGUGUGAUACCUUUUGGGCAAAAAGAAAUCUCUUUCACAAAUCAAUUCGAUAAUAUCCGAUCGUGACUUACCCAAGGACCAAGGUUAUCAAUUCUCAUUUAGUUCUUCCUUUGUUUUUUUUUUAAUUAACAGUUGAUCUCAUAAUUUUAAUUAAACGCAACUUAAGUGCUUUAUAUAUAGUAACAAUUGACCGUUUGAUUUCGUGAAACUACGGUAAGAAAGAAAACUAUUGGUGUUAUGAAGAUCGAGUUUUAGAAGCUGCAAGAGAUCUUUGUUCGGAGACUCUCCAAUGGAGAUUGAAGGGGAGUUUGGAGAUGUUUGUUUGGUCAUUUGGAGUUAUGAGGUUGAUCAAUAUAGUUAUUUAUGACAAAUAGACUUUUGGUAUCCGUUCA